UUGAUCCUGGCUCAGAUCGAAUGCUGGCGGCGUGGCUAAAACAUGCAAGUCGUACGGAAAGGUCGUUUCUGAUCCUUCGGGUGACGAAGCGAUACUCGAGUGGCGAAAGGGCGAGGAAUACAUGGGCAACGUGCCUUCUGCACGAGGAUAACUGCGGGAAGCUGCAGUUAAUACUCGAUAAGACCACAGCACCUUCGGGUGCAGGGGUCAAAGGUGGGGACCUUCGGGCCUACCGGCAUUAGAGCGACCCAUGUCCUAUCAGCUUGUUGGUGAGGUAACGGCUCACCAAGGCGACGACGGGUACCGGGACUGAGAGGUUGACCCGGCGCAUCGGGACUGAGACACUGCCCGGACUCCUACGGGAGGCUGCAGUAACGAAUAUUCCGCAAUGGGCGAAAGCCUGACGGAGCGACGCCGCGUGUGGGAGGAAGCCCUUCGGGGUGUAAACCACUGUCAGGGAUUACCAAGCAAAGUUGGCGAAUAGCCUUCUGCGUUGAGGCGUCCCAGAGGAAGCCACGGCUAACUUCGUGCCAGCAGCCGCGGUAAUACGAAGGUGGCGAGCGUUGUUCGGAAUCACUGGGCUUAAAGGGCACGCAGGCGGACUGUCAAGCGUCUUGUGAAAGCCCCCGGCUUAACCGGGGAAUUGCUGGGCGAACUGGCAGUCUUGAGGCAGGUAAGGGCGAGCGGAACUCUUGGUGGAGCGGUGGAAUGCGUAGAUAUCAAGAGGAACGCCGGAGGCGAAAGCGGCUCGCUGGGCCUGACCUGACGCUGAGGUGCGAAAGCCAGGGGAGCGAACGGGAUUAGAUACCCCGGUAGUCCUGGCCAUAAACGAUG
rnacentral:rRNA from 1 species